UGCCGUCGAGUUUCUCCUCACCGGAAGUGUUGAACGGUGUCCAUGGGUCCUCUUGAAUCGGUGUCGCCUUCAAGCACCAUCAUCGGAACCACUGGUUGAACGCUGAUCACUCCACCAAGCCUUGUCGUGCCAUCGCAACAACUUGCGUCGUCGUAAGUGGAUCCUCCAUGUACCGUCUCAAAGUUGUGGAGUUGUUGAGGGAGAAGACUUGAUGAGUGCUGCUGUUGGGGUGGAGGAGUAUGAUUGUUUGGAUGGUUAUGUGUUGUUGAA